GAAGAACGAUCGGCGCGUGCUUAACACAUGCAAGUCGAACGGAAAGGCCUCUUUCGGGGGGUACUCGAGUGGCGAACGGGUGAGUAACACGUGAGUAACCUGCCCUUGACUUUGGGAUAACUUCAGGAAACUGGGGCUGAUACCGGAUAGGAGCUCCUGCUGCAUGGUGGGGGUUGGAAAGUUUCGGCGGUUGGGGAUGGACUCGCGGCUGAUCAGCUUGUUGGUGGGGUAGUGGCUUACCAAGGCUUUGACGGGUAGCCGGCCUGAGAGGGUGACCGGCCACAUUGGGACUGAGAUACGGCCCAGACUCCUACGGGAGGCAGCAGUGGGGAAUAUUGCACAAUGGGUGGAAGCCUGAUGCAGCAACGCCGUGUGCGGGAUGACGGCCUUCGGGUUGUAAACCGCUUUCGCUCAUGACGAAGCUUUGUGUGACGGUAGUGGGUAAAGAAGCACCGGCUAACUACGUG
rnacentral:rRNA from 1 species